UCAGAUAUGGUGUGGUUGGAAACACGGCCUCUUUUCAUUAGAGAUACCCCAUAUUCAGAGGCAUUUCAGGGUUCGAUUCCCUGUGUCUGAA